rnacentral:sRNA from 14 species
GCUUACGGCCACACCACCUGAUUCACGCCCGAUCUCGUUUGAUCUCGGAAGCUAAGAUAGGUUGGG